rnacentral:sRNA from 1 species
UCUACUUCUAAACGAUGUAACCCUACCUACUUUACAUCCUUGCAACUCCUUGGUUGCGCCAGCAUGAAUAAAUGAAUAGAAAUCAU